AAAGAGACCUGAGAAACUGGCAGGUUUUUAGCUUUAAAAACCUUUAAACCUCUUUUUGUCUCAGGACUGAGGAAAAUGGCUGACUUGGGGAUCUCGAAGCCCUCAAACUCCCACACAUCUAACCUUACCUGAUCUAUUCAAAAAUGCCAAUUCAUCAUAUUUGAGGCUCAGCUUCCCACCAACUACAGCCGCUAACCACAACUCAACGCAGCUAGCUAUCAAACACCAUACCGAACCAGCCAACAAUAUCCUGGUUAUAGCCAAGUUAAACCUCUUAUUUACGCUGACUUUAUGUAUGAAAUUGUGUAUGGAGCGAUAGUUGGUGUCGAGUGGUUCACUGACACUAAAAAUUUACUAAAAAUUCGUAAAAAAAAAAAAAAA